rnacentral:rRNA from 1 species
AGAGUUUGAUCCUGGCUCAGGAUGAACGUUGGCGGCAUGCUUAACACAUGCAAGUCGAACGCAGGCCUCGGCCUGAGUGGCGAACGGGUGCGUAACACGUAGGUGACCUGGCCUGGAGUGGGGGAUAACCCUCGGAAACGGGGGCUAAUACCGCAUGGUCUAGCCGAGUUUUGAAAUCGGUUAGUAAAGCUUAAUGUGCUCUAGGGGGGGCCUGCGGCCUAUCAGGUAGUUGGUGGGGUAAAAGCCUACCAAGCCGAUGACGGGUAGCUGACCUGAGAGGGUGGUCAGCCACAGGGGAACUGAGACACGGUCCCCACUCCUACGGGAGGCAGCAGUGAGGAAUAUUGGGCAAUGGGGGCAACCCUGACCCAGCAAUGCCGCGUGCGGGAGGACGCCCUUCGGGGUGUAAACCGCUUUUGUGAGGGAGGAGCAAGGACCGUACCUCACGAAGAAGUCACGGCUAACUACGUGCCAGCAGCCGCGGUAAUACGUAGGUGGCGAACGUUAUCCGGAGUUACUGGGCGUAAAGGGUCCGCAGGCGGGGGCGCAAGUCUGACGUGAAAUCUUCUGGCUUAACUAGAAGAGGUCGUUGGAAACUGCGUCUCUAGCAUCCCGCAGAGGUCGGUGGAAUUCCCGGUGUAGUGGUGGAAUGCGUAGAGAUCGGGAGGAACCUCGAAAGCGAAGGCAGCCGGCUGGGCGCGGAUGGACGCUGAGGGACGAAAGCGUGGGGAGCGUACAGGAUUAGAUACCCCCGUAGUCC